CAUACACUCACACACAUACACUGUCACACACACACACACACACAUACACUCACACACACACACACACACUGUGUCCAUCAAUAAAGCAGAAAUUAAUAAAUAAUGAAUACAAAUGGUUCUGUGUGCAUGUGUGUGUGUGUGUGUGUGUGUGUGUGUGUGUGUGUGUGUGUGUAUGUGUGUGUGUGUGUGUGUGUGUGUGUGUGUGUGUGUGUGUUCUAGAUGAGAGUGUUGUCUCUGAAGACACUGGGACUCAGAAAACACUUGUGGAUUUUGCAGACACACCGGAGUCAUGUAUGAAGCCCAGCGUUAAUCUGAUCUCUCUGGACGACUCACACACAUCAUCUCUGAUCUGAACAUCUGCUGCCUGUGUGUGUGUGUGUGUGUGUGUGUGUGUGUGUGUGUGUGUGUGUGUGUGUGUGUGUGUAAGCAGAGAUCUAAUGUGAGUGAUCAUUAGGGUUUGGGCUGUGCUGAUGUUUGAGGGUGUGAGGGUAUACUGUGAUAAAGACAUCUAAAUGAUCACUAAUGACAAACGCACAUCAGUAUCCAGAGCUCAGACAGAACUACAGACAUACAGUGAAUUCCAUUAAUAUUGGCACCCUUGGUAAAUAUGAGCAAAGUAGGCUGUGAAAAAUUGUCUUUAUUGUUUAACCUUCUGAUCUUUUGUUCAAAAUUCAUGCUCUCAUAGAUAUCAAACAAUCGCAAACACAACACAGGUUUAUGCAAAAAAUAAAAAUUCUUUGUUAAAUAUAGGUGUGCAACAAUUAUUGGCACUUCAGUGAAUUCAUGUGCGAAAAUAUAUUUGAAGUAUUGAUAUUCAUUGAUAUUUAAAAAAUAAUAAUAAUUAAUACACCUGGUGACUAGGAACAGGAAAGUGUUCAACCGUGACUUCCUGUUUCACAGGGGUAUAAAUAUGAGGUAACACACAGGCCAAAUUCCCUUAGUCAUUCAUAACAAUGGGUAAGAGCGAGGAAUGUAGCUGUGAUGUGCGGCAAAAGGUUGUUGAGCUUCACACAAUGGGGCGUGUCUAUAAGAAAAUAGCACAAGCAUUGAAAACGCCCAUUUCACCAUCAGGGCAAUAAUGAAGAAGUUCCAGUCCACUGGAAAUGUUAUGAAUGGACCUGGAACUGGACGUGUGUCUAUAUCGUCUCAACGCACUGUGAAGAGGACGGUUCGAGUGGAUAAAACAUCUCCAAGGGAUCACAGCUGGAGAACUGCAGAAGUUAGUUGUGUCUUGGGGUCAGAAAGUCUCCAAAACUACAAUCUGAAGUCACCGACAUCACCACAAGCUGUUUGGAAGGGUUUGAAGAAAAAAGCCUCUACUCUCAUCCAAAAACACACUCGAGCGUCUUCAGUGUGCCGACACUACUGGAACUUCAAAUGGGAUCGGGUUCUACGGUCAGAUGAAACCAGAAUAGAGCUUUUUGGUAAUAAACACAGAGGUGGUUUUGGAGCACACAGAGAGGUAGCCGUAUGGAAAAG
ensembl:lncRNA